CGAUGAGAACCUGGAACCGUGCCUAAAAUUAAAAACAACAACAUACAAACCUGACUUACUCAAAUUAUGCAAGAAAAUGCAAGGCCAAUGUUCACAUUAGUGUUUGUGACUUUUUCAGUCAUUGUCAGGAUGUAAUUUUCUCUACAUUGUAAGGCAAAUUUUAUGGAAUUUAACAUUAUCAAUAAAUAAUAUCGUUCUAAAUUUUUGUUUUAUUAGUUGUGUUAUUUGUAUCCUUCCAACCUAUGUGGAUACUUGCAUGCAGAAUAUUCUCAAUAAAAACUUAUUGAAACUAAAAA